rnacentral:lncRNA from 10 species
CAAGAGACCCCAGUCUCCGAGGCGGGGAGGCUGUGGCUGGGGGAAGUUCUCCAGGGCUCCUAGGGAAAACAGCUGUGAGGACCAGCAGGCAAAGGGUGGGUUUCAGGGACUGUUGGGGGAAUGGUCUGGGAAAGAGGCCGGGGACCUGGGAUGGGAGUCUGGAGUGUGCUCAGUGCGGGAAGCGAGCGCCUGCGUGCUGUGUGGCAACAAAGGGAAACCGAGUGCAUGGGGUAGAGCAUGGAGUGGAAGUGACAACAGCAGAGGCACAGAGUCCAGGGAAAGGUUUCUGAGCCAUCCAGGGGAUUUGCUUUCUUCUGCUGAUGGGAGAGAUGGAAUAAAACCUGCCUGCUGGAGGGGGAAGCAGAAGGGACCCAUGGCUGACAGCAUACAUCCUCCACGCACUCAGUGGGGAAUGAAGCUGCCACUGCCCCAAGACACAGGCUGGAGACAAGGCAGUUUUGGCCAAACCCUCUUCAACUCCAGUAGCUGGGAAAGAGCUGGCCACCCCUGGUAGUGAGGAAUGGGGUGCAAGAGCCAGGAAGACUCAGGUGAAAAGCCACGCUCCAUCUGUGGCAAUGUGAACAGGAGUAAGGGACUCGAGCUCCACGGGCCACCAUCUCCUUGCUUAUGUAAUGGGGUGGUUUCUUUCUGACUGCCCUGCAUGGAAGCCAGCACUAAACUAAGUACAAGAGAUGCAGCAGACAACAAGAACAUCCAGCCCACGUCCUCAUGGUGCUGACAGCCUAGCUGGAGGGGACAGUGACCAAGUGAUCUCUGAAGGGCCCAGCACAGAGGUCCCCAUGCUGACCGUAAGCCACCGAUGGGGUGAUACUGUACACAGACAGUGUACAUUUGAAAGAACUCCCAAGGGGGUCAGACUUGGCCCAGCCCGGAAGCCUGCAUGUGCUGUUCUUCCUAUCUGGGUGCCUCUCUCUCUCUUCCUGUCCAUGGUUAACAUUUUCAUUAUGGCUGACAAAGAGCUUUACUUCUCAUCCCCCAUGCCCACAUCCUCCACAAAACUAGAUGCCUUCUUCUGGACAGCCUGCUCUGUCUGUCUUUAGCAUCUCAUUGUCAUCCGGUCACCCAAAUACCUCUCACCCAAAGAACCCCAGAAGCAGAACUCACGGCGGCCUGAUGGCACACUGGAUUCUACAAUAGCUUCUCUUUUCAGCAUGUUGGACCUGCCCACAUUAACUUCCCCAUUGUCUUGAUUUCCCCAAGUUACAAACUCUAUAGGCUGUGCCACUGCUGUCUGCAGCUCCCAUGGCACCGAUUCCAGGGCCUCGCACUUAGUAGACACACAGUAAACACUGCCGACUUAACAAGUGAGUUCAUAAUGUGACCGCUAAGCUAGCUCUCGGAAAGGAUGUAGUGGGGAGGCCAGAAUGGACACUGAGAGACCCCAGUCAGAGUCAAGGCCCUGCCACAUCUAGCAAGGUACCACCUCCACCAGCUUCACUUUCCCUGUCUCAAAGAUGGGGUAAUGUGGGAGGGACGCUAUCACCGGUGAAAGUUCUUUCAAAUGCAUGGUGCCACUCGAGCCACAUGAUGACCCAGUGAUGUGGUGGUUAAUUCCAAGUUCCUGUCCCACCAGCAGGGGUAUGGCAUGAUCUGCUCACCUACCCUCACCUAUGCUGAACAGGACUUGGGAAAAACACUCAAUAUUUUAAGAGUGUGUUGGCCGGGCACCGUGGCUCAAGCCUGUAAUCCCAGCACUUUGGGAGGCUGAGGCAGGCAGAUCACGAGGUCAGGAGAUCAAGACCAUCCUGGCUAACACGGUGAAACCCCGUCUCUACUAAAAAUACAAAAAAUUAGCCGGGCGUGGUGGCGGGCGCCUGUAGUCCCAGCAACUCGGGAGGCUGAGGCAGGAGAAUGGCGUGAACCUGGGAGGCAGAGCUUGUAGUGAGCCGAGAUCGUGCCACUGCAGUCCAGCCUGGGUGACUGAGCGAGACUCCGUCUCAAAGAAAAAGAAAAAAAAGAGUGUGUUGCUUGUUUUUUUACUGGUGUUUUAGUGUUUUCCCAUAGACUUGUUUGUAUUCUUUAUAUAUUGUGGAUAUAAACCCCCUGUGUAUCAUACGUUGUUGGGAUGCUCGUUAAUCUUAUAGAAAAUUCUCAUAUUUGUAAAUAAAAUAAUGUAGAUGAUA